AACUGUGGUACUUCAGAGAAGACAGAGCAGGAAGCCAAGAGGAGUGAAGGAGCAGAACAUGGAAUUCACCUGGAGAUAAUGAAGCAGCAGAAGUUGUCAGCCCCUUUUAUGUCUGUCUAAAAAAAGAGGCCUUUUAUUUCAGUGAAACUGAAGAAUGAAAAUUAAAAAGCUAAACAAAGCAGAAAAUUUCUGCAAAAAUAAUUUGACACUUGCUAUUGAUUGAAGGAAUGGAGCAGCAAAGUUUAACAAGUUGCAUAAAAGCACCUUUGGUCUGCUUUAAAAAUCUCUCUAAAAGAAACAGUUAUAUCACUCAUAUGCUGUUCACCUGUCUCUUCUCAUCUCUAGAUCUCAAAAGCGGAACUGCUCUAACUUCACAUGCCAAAGUAGAACCUACUUCUCCUGCCUCUGCCUUGCACUCAGCAUCCAGCCUUGCCCAUGGUGCAGUACAGCAGAUAUUGCUGUGGGAGAGCCUGGCUGGUGAGACAGAGUUCCUUCCUGCUCACCUCCUUGAGCAUCGAGCUGUGUCAGCUGGGAUGACUGGAGAAGCCCAUCUCUUUCCCUGUCCUCUGAGACCAGGAAAUUGAAAGUAAGGAAAUCUCAUCAGGAACAACACCCACAUGCAGGUACCAAGCCCCUGCUGCACCUGAAUUCAAUUGAUGCAAAGAAGCUGAAUUUAAAAUAUGCUCCAGAACAAAGCAAGGCCAGCUGGAGGAUUUCCUGCAGGAGAAAGGAAAAGCCUGGGGAGGCAGUGGGCCGGAAUGCUGAGCUGUGACACAUUCCUGCUGGCUACAGUCUCAUUCUGUUCCUCCCCUUACCAAGGCGGGCAAGCCCCGGGUGUUCGCAGCGCUGCGGUGUGACAGCGGCAGCCCGGGAAGGCGAUCCAUGCGGUGAUCCCGGCGAUCCAUGCGGGGAUUGAGUCACUCGCACAAGGUCACGCGAAUCGCUGGCGCCUCCAGGAAUAGCACCCGGAGCCUCCCGGCUCUCUCGAGCCCACCCUCGGCACUCCAGCCCGAAUUCCCCUGGUCUGAGACUUCUUCAAGCAAUGUGUCCUGCAAGGAUUAUGAACCUUUCUGCAACAAGAUCUGAAACAGCCAGAUUCCAAUUUAAAUCAAAGUCCCUAGGAUUCACUUGUGAUUUCCAGUAAGGCUUCUUUAAGCGUGGCUCUGCUGCACACAAGAAAAUCACACCACAGGCUGGAGUGAGCCAGGAAGUCUUGUCCCCAAGUGGCUUUAUGCUCUUUAAAGAUACCUGAAGGAGCCAGAGAAGGUUUCAGGGAAUUUCAGGUGGCAGGCAGGAGUCGUGAGCCCGAGGUCCCUCCUGUGUGACGCCCCAGGUCUGUCCUGACAGCAGUGCUGGCCGGUGCUGACAGAGUACAGAGUAACUUCAGCUGGGAUCUGUGGUACUGCUGUGUCCCUGGCUGCUGAGAGCAGGGAAGGAGGGCUCCAUCUACUGCUGUGCAGGGAGAAGGCAAAAAUAACCGGGAUGGCAUUCCUCCGCUGCACAGAAAAGCUACUGGGUACCAUGGACUCCAGAGAAGUGUCUCCAAAGAGUGAAUUUUUUGGCCCUUUGGAAAUGUAUGAACGGGACAGCACCAUAUGGACUUGGCAUGCCCCAGGGAUGGCUGUGGGAGCCUGGGAACAUUCCGUGCCUGCAGCAAGUGUAGGAAGAAGGAAGGAGGAGAGCGGAACGAGAGGCUGCAGGGAGCUGUGUGGGGAUGGCACUGAGCAACAUGGCUGCACUGGCAGGGCCCAGCCAUGACCAGGUCUCCAUCACAACUGAGAACAGCAGCAGCACCAGCCUGACAUCACCGACAGAGGUACCUGCACAAAGGACCAGGUACAGACUUCUCAGGAUUUUGCCUGCUAUCCCAGACUAACACUUCAGAAGUGCCACCAAGAAAACUUCUCUGCAAAUCUCUUUCUAUUUCAAAACUUCUUAACUGAAUAAUGUGAGUGGCCAGAUACAUUCCUGCCUGUUGAAGCUCACAAUAGAAGAAUGUUCAAAAGGAAAAGGAAAAUAUUUGGAAAGUAUUUUUUUUACUAUCACGCAGACCUGGAAAUUGUAUCAGCUGAGGAGAUACACCAGUUGUUCCUUCAGCUACAUUUUUUGUGCUGGCAACCUGCCCUGCAAUUUCCAGGGACAGCAAACCUGUGAGACAGGUGCACUCACUGUGUGACUGAGGAUGCUCUCCAGCCCUGCCGUGCCAGGGGAGCGGGGCCGUGUGUGGGGUCUGCUGUUUUCUAGUUGGAGUGAUUUUUAUAGCCUGUAUUAUAAGGAAACCCACACGUGAGGAAAGGAAGAAGGAAUUAAAUGGAAAACAAACCACAGGCCCAGCCAUUAAUCCUUCUGGGGAAAGAAGGGCCUGGCCUGGAUUCUUCAGCAUCCAACCCACUGUGGGACACACCAGGUGAAAGUCGUCAACAGUCUGAGCUGAGUCUCUGGUCAGCCAUCGUUCUGGGGGAUCUGCUGCUGCUCUCCCACUGGAGCCUGUUCCUUUGUGCUCUUUCCAUGAGGAGCAGCCAAAAUCAUGAAUUAAACAUUGCUGAUAUUAAAGAGGACUCCUGGCAUCUGCCCCAAAUGGAGAAAUCAACGUGUCAUUCAUUAAAGAUAUCCACACUUGUACAGGGAACACGUGUUUGCCAGAUGGUGCCAGUUCAGGAUUCCCAGAGGGAGCAGGAGAGGUCCAUCCCUGCUGAAUGCCAGAGCCACCCCAGUCCCAGGGUCCCCCAAGGAUCUUCACUCCUCUCCCUGCAGCCUGGCAGAGAUGCCCCUGGGCCUCUCCCAGCUGAAGCUGUGUUGUGACCCCAGACUGCCAAGGAAAGUACAAAAUUGAUGUAUCCUGGGGGAGGGAGGCAGGGGUGUGGGCUGAGAUCUGGUGUCUCAAGACCAUUCUUUAGACAGUGCUGAUCCAGACUGUCUUAUUCCCAGCAUUUUUCAAAUUGUGUUAUUUCCUACAGUUUGCAACUACACACAGUAGUCAGAGGUUAUGACACGUGGCUGACUUUAAAGGACACUGUCUGUAACAAGUGCUAUGUACAUAUUCUAUAAAUGUUGUUAUACCCUGUAUUUUAUAGCUUUAGACUGCAAUAAAUGGGGACAAACUA